GACAGAGGGUGCAAACGUUGUUCGGAAUUACUGGGCGUAAAGCGCGUGUAGGCUGCUUGGAAAGUCGGGUGUGAAAGCCCUGAGCUCAACUCAGGAAGUGCACUCGAAACUUCCGAGCUCGAGUCCUGGAGAGGGUGGCGGAAUUCUCGGUGUAGAGGUGAAAUUCGUAGAUAUCGAGAGGAACACCGGUGGCGAAGGCGGCUACCUGGACAGUGACUGACGCUGAGGAGCGAAAGCUAGGGUAGCAAACGGG
rnacentral:rRNA from 1 species